rnacentral:ncRNA from 2 species
UACGUAGGUGGCAAGCGUUGUCCGGAUUUACUGGGCGUAAAGCGCGCGCAGGCGGACUGGUAAGUCUGGGGUGAAAUCUCACGGCUCAACUGUGAGCGGUCCCCGGAUACUGCCGGUCUUGAGGGGCUCAGAGGAGAGUGGAAUUCCCGGUGUAGUGGUGGAAUGCGUAGAUAUCGGGAGGAACACCAGUGGCGAAAGCGACUCUCUGGGGGCAACCUGACGCUGAGGCGCGAAAGCGUGGGGAGCAAACCGG